GAUUACCUUAGUAACGGCGAGUGAAGCGGUAACAGCUCAAAUUUGAAAUCUGGGUCUUUUAGGCUCCGAGUUGUAAUUUGUAGAAGAUGCUUUGGGUGCGGCCCCGGUCUAAGUUCCUUGGAACAGGACGUCAUAGAGGGUGAGAAUCCCGUAUGUGAUCGGUGGCUUGCGCCCGUGUAAAGCUCUUUCGACGAGUCGGGUUGUUUGGGAAUGCAGCUCUAAAUGGGUGGUAAAUUUCAUCUAAAGCUAAAUAUUGGCCAGAGACCGAUAGCGCACAAGUAGAGUGAUCGAAAGAUGAAAAGCACUUUGGAAAGAGAGUUAAACAGUACGUGAAAUUGUUGAAAGGGAAGCGCUUGCAACCAGACUUGCGCGGGGUUGAUCAUCCGGGGUUCUCCCCGGUGCACUCGGCCUCGCUCAGGCCAGCAUCGGUUUUGGUGGUUGGAUAAAGGCCUUGGGAAUGUGACUUCUUUCGGGGAGUGUUAUAGCCCUCGGUGCAAUGCAGCCUACCGGGACCGAGGACCGCGCUUCGGCUAGGAUGCUGGCGUAAUGGUUGUAAGCGACCCGUCUUGAAACACGGACCAAGGAGUCUAACAUCUAUGCGAGUGUUUGGGUGUCAAACCCAUACGCGUAAUGAAAGUGAACGGAGGUGAGAACCCUUAAGGGUGCAUCAUCGACCGAUCCUGAUGUCUUCGGAUGGAUUUGAGUAAGAGCAUAGCUGUUGGGACCCGAAAGAUGGUGAACUAUGCCUGAAUAGGGUGAAGCCAGAGGAAACUCUGGUGGAGGCUCGCAGCGGUUCUGACGUGCAAAUCGAUCGUCAAAUUUGG
rnacentral:rRNA from 1 species